AGAAAGCUUAAAAUGUGUAUCAUGACCCAUCCUCUACCCGGUGGGCCAAACCCCUUUUCUAACAUCGUGUUUUAGAGUGUAUCUGAUCAUCAAACUAAUUAAAUGAAUUAUCUGACCUUCCUUCUGAAUCAUAUUAAAAUAUCCCACAUAUUCACAUUCAAGCUAGCUGUGUUGGUACUCAUAGUAGUAGCAUUAGCAAUUAGCAUGACUUCCUGCUUGGGAUGUUUCAAUCCAGGGCCUGUUAGUUUGAGUCUCUCCCUCAUGCUGAUUGGCCUAUGGUUCUGUGAGCUGGCACAGCCCCCUGCUCGGGGCCUUCUCAUGAACAGUCCUACUGGAGAGGGGUGACUGCUGCAGUACUGCAUACUCGUGCAGCUCUCCUUAAGAGGCCAGUUGUCUCUGUUCAGGUGAAGCUCUACAGUGUUGAACAAAUGAAGGCCAGGUGGUGUUUAUUGGCGCUGGGUCUUGGCCUUGGUGUGUCUCACUACCACUGCAGGACCAGAUGUGGAGGAACAUCAAUCGUCCAUCUGUUUGAAUGGCCUUGGAGAGACAUAGCUGAGGAAUGUGAGAACUAUCUUGCCCCAAAUGGCUUUGCUGCUGUGCAGAUUUCCCCUCCCAGCGAGAACGUUGUGGUGACCCAGCCAUGGAGACCUUGGUGGGAGAGAUAUCAGCCAAUCAGCUAUAAGCUCUGCUCCAGGUCGGGGACAGAGCAGGAGCUGAGGGACAUGAUCUCCAGAUGCAACAAAGUUGGGGUGAAGAUCUACGCAGACGUGGUCAUCAAUCACAUGUGCUCGGCAAGCGCGGGGGAAGGCAGGCGCUCGACCUGUGGAUCAUACUUCAAUGCCAGAGAAGAGGAGUUCCCAUCUGUGCCCUACUCAGCUUCCCACUUCAACGAUGACAAAUGCACCACCGCUAGUGGAAAUAUUGAGAAUUACCAAGACAUUUAUCAGCUCACAGCUAGUGCUGCGCAGGUGCGUGACUGCCGUCUGGUGGGGCUUCUGGAUCUGGCCCAUCGCAAGGAGCACGUGAGGGAGAGGGUGGCUGGCUACAUGAACACGCUUGUGGACAUGGGGGUGGCCGGUUUCAGGGUGGAUGCCUGCAAACACAUGUGGCCAGAGGACCUGAAGGCAAUCUAUGGCAGACUGCACAACCUCAACACUGAGUGGUUUCCAGAAGGUUCCAAACCUUUCGUUUACCAAGAGGUCAUUGACCUUGGUGGAGAACCCAUAAAGGCGAGUGAAUACUCCAGGCUUGGCCAUGUAACGGAGUUCAAAUAUGGAGCUAAGCUAGGAUCUGUCAUUCGCAGAUGGAACGGAGACAAGCUCGCUGACCUUAAGACAUGGGGAGAAAGCUGGGGACUGAUGCCUUCCGACCAGGCCCUGGUGUUUGUGGAUAACCAUGACAACCAGAGAGGGCAUGGAGCAGGGGGGGCAUCUAUUCUCACCUUCUGGGAGCCGAGAAUGUACAAAAUGGCUGUGGCCUUCAUGCUGGCUCAUCCUUACGGCGUGACCAGACUGAUGUCGAGCUACCGCUGGGACCGGAGUCUGGUGGAAGGGAGGGUGGGUGGCUCCUGUCAGGAUCAGAACGACUGGAUGGGCCCUCCCAGCUAUCCAGAUGGCUCCACCAAGCCCGUCCCCAUCAACCCAGACGGCAGCUGUGGGGAGGGUUGGGUAUGCGAACACAGAUGGCAUCAAAUCAGGAAUAUGGUCAUGUUCCGCAAUGUGGCCCAUGGGCAGCCAUUAUUGAACUGGUGGGACAAUGGCGGGAAUCAGAUUGCUUUUGGACGAGGUGAUCGUGGAUUCAUAGUCAUCAAUAACGAUGAUUGCACUCUGGAUGCCCUGCUGCAAACGGGCAUGCCUGCAGGGAGCUACUGCGAUGUGAUAUCCGGCCAGAGGACAGCCGCUGGCAUGGGCUGCACGGGGAAGCGGAUCACCGUAGGGGAAGAUGGAAGAGCCCAUUUCACCAUCAAGGCCACCGAACAGGACCCCUUCGUUGCCAUCCAUGCAGGCUCAAAGUUGUGAUCAGGUGGAAACUGUUGGGACUCUCCUGGCCUGAAAGACAUUGGCCCUGUAUCAGAGACAGAGAGUGAUGAAGCCAGACUGACUGCAGUGGAUAGACUGAUGGGUGGAGUAUGACCUGAAUGCAAGUUUCACCAGUUCAUGAACACUUUGGGAACCACUGGAUUAACCCAUUAAGACCAGGACUGUUGUCAGCUUGCAGUGGAAAGUGCCAUCGGUUACACCCCAGUGCAGCGCUGGCACUCACCAUUUGGGCUGGGUGAUGCACAUUGUGAAUGAAGCAGCCCAACUCCACACCAAACCCUCAGGAGGGCCACCUUUCGCAAGGUCAGUCCCCAGCCACCGCCAUGGUUAAAUCCGGCAUCUGUAUGGCUGCUGCGUCGGCCAUGUUUGCACAGGGAAGGGAACGCCACAUGAGGUGAGACAGCAAAGGUGAAAUGCAGCAUGACAUUCCACUUUGUUGUCAUGGCAACUCUGUGCUUGAUGAAAAACUGAAAAACAAUAAACAGGGGGGAAAAAAUAGGAAAAAGAA